GUAGGGUCCGAGCGUUGUCCGGAAUUAUUGGGCGUAAAGAGCUCGUAGGCGGUUUGUCGCGUCUGCCGUGAAAUCCUCAGGCUCAACCUGAGGUCUGCGGUGGGUACGGGCAGACUUGAGUGGUGUAGGGGAGACUGGAAUUCCUGGUGUAGCGGUGGAAUGCGCAGAUAUCAGGAGGAACACCGAUGGCGAAGGCAGGUCUCUGGGCACUUACUGACGCUGAGGAGCGAAAGCGUGGGGAGCGAACAGGAUUAGAUACCCUGGUAGUCCACGCCGUAAACGUUGGGCGCUAGAUGUGGGGACCUUUCCACGGUUUCCGUGUCGUAGCUAACGCAUUAAGCGCCCCGCCUGGGGAGUACGGCCGCAAGGCUAAA
rnacentral:rRNA from 1 species